CAUCCUAAUUUGUGCAUUCAAAUCUAAUUAUCUUUUUUUUUUUUUUUUUCCGAAACAAAAAUAUUGCGGUAGAAAUGGCCAACAAAGUCAGAAAGUGGACCUGCCUCUGCGUGGGCAACCCAUCACCCACGGUGCACGUUAGCUACCAACCACCCACACACCUAAGCGGUGGUCUCAUCCAUCCUAGUAGAUCUCAAAAUCAGCCGCACACCCCUCCAUUCACCACCACCACCCGCACCCACUUUCACAUUCUUCUUAACUUUCUUUCCUUUUUUCUCUCUCAAUUUCACCCUUCCUAACCUACGCACUCAUGUCCGCCUCUCCUCCUCCCCCAGAUCCAAUUUCUCAGGACCCGCCUCCUCUUGCUUUACCUGCGCCGCCCAUACAACCUACGUCUGUCAACCCCCGCCGUCUCCCUCCGCCUUGUUGGUCGCACGAUGAGACCGUUGCUCUCAUCGACGCUUACCGUGAGAAAUGGUACGCACUCCGACGUGGUAACCUCAAGGCCACCCACUGGCAAGAGGUCGCCGACGUUGUAGGUCGACGAUGCCCCGCUGCGUCCCCGCCGAAGACGGCCGUCCAGUGCCGUCAUAAGAUGGAGAAACUACGGAAACGUUAUCGUACGGAGAUCCAGCGUGCGAGAUCCAUGCCUCUCUCGAGAUUCUCAUCUUCUUGGGUUCACUUCAAGAGAAUGGACUCCAUGGAGAAAGGUCCAUCGACGAAACCGGCUUAUAAUUCAGACAGUGCCGAUGAGGACGAAAACGAUGACGAAGAUGAUGAUGACAUUAAUCAGGAUUUGUAUCAGGAACGGUCUAAUUUCAAGAACGGUGUAGCCAACACGAGGAGUGUCCAUAAUUUGUAUCGUAAUGGAAUUAGUACGGGACCUAGUAGUGGUGGUGGGAGUAGUAGUGGGUUUAGAAUCAGAAUCCCCACCGGAGUUAGUAUAGCUCAACCUGGGCCAAAAAUUUAUGCAAAGAUCGGAAACCCUAACCCUAAUGCUAACCAUACUCCUAAUUUUAACCCUCAACCAAAUUUUGGGAGUUCAGGGUCAGGUUCAGGCUCAGGGGUGAAUUAUGGGACAAGGGUUUUGAGAGGAUGUGAAGAGACGCCAAUUGCGAAGAGAGAACGGGAACCGGUGGCGGAGAUGGUAGCCGCUAUAAAGAUGUUGGGAGAUGGUUUUGUGAGAACGGAACAGAUGAAGAUGGAACUGGCAAGAGAGCUUGAAGCUAUGCGUAUGGAUAUGGAAAUGAAGCGUACUCAGAUGAUUUUGGAGUCUCAACAGCGGAUUGUGGAGGCUUUUGCUAAAGCUGUUUCAGAAAAGAAUAAGAAGCCCAAGAGGAUGCCCACUCCUGAGUCUUAGAAGAUGAUCCCAGUAAUGGCUUUUGUUUAUUUUCUAAUCUGCUGUCCUGUAAAGACCUGUUCUGCUAAACCUGCAUAUUCUGUAGAAUGAUUCUUUGAGUGACUAGAAAGGCAGCUGCAUGUCUCUUGUAGCCAGAAUACUUUUGAGACUGAACUGCUCAACAUAAUCUGCAACAAUCAAAAUACCUGAGACCUUUCCGAAUUCUGUGAUGGGUUCAUUCCACAUGUAAAUUUGAAGCUGUUCUGACUAGUAUCCGGUUUCUUGCAUAAAAAGUGAAACCGAGUUUGAAGUGAACCGUAUGCAAAAGCAACGGACAUCAGUUUUUUUAAUAAGGGAUAAGGGGAGUGUCACUGAGCACUGGCUGUGGUGCAUUGCUGUGCCUCUUUCUUGAAUGAACUCUUUUACAAAAUGAAACUUGACGACGCUUUAAUUCAUUCCACCAGAAACUAGUUUGAACAUGAGUUAUAUUACGGGAAAUUGUCUCAUCUCAUCAUUUAAAUUAAUGUGUUUUUUUCUGUUGGGUGAGAUUUCUUUCAUACGGUUUUCUUUUCUGCCGAAUCAUCAGCACUCUACAAACUCUGGACUCAUUUUCGGUAGUCUGGGUGAUAGCUAAGCCUUGCAGAAGAAAGUUGUAAGAAAAUGAUGGAGAGAGCAGAUUUUAGAAGUCUUCCUAUUUUUCUCAAUUUGUUAAUGGUGGUUAGGGAUGGGUUUGUACCAAAUCAUUUCGGAUUCAAAUUUAUAUUUGAUUUAAACAAAUUGAAUUCAAAUAAAAAUUCUAAAUUAGUGGUGUUUGAGCUUGACAG